rnacentral:rRNA from 1 species
UACAGAGGGUGCAAGCGUUAAUCGGAAUUACUGGGCGUAAGCGUGCGUAGACGGUAGCGUAAGUCGGGUGUGAAAGCCCCGGGCUCAACCUGGGAAUUGCAUUCGAGACUGCUCUGCUAGGGUGCGGAAGAGGGAAGCGGAAUUUCCGGUGUAGCGGUGAAAUGCGUAGAUAUCGGAAGGAACACCAGUGGCGAAAGCGGCUUCCUGGUCCAGCACCGACGUUCAGGCACGAAAGCGUGGGAGCAACAGG